UACGUAGGGGCCUAGCGUUGUCCGGAAUUAUUGGGCGUAAAGAGCUCGUAGGCGGUUCGGCAAGUCGGAUGUGAAAUCUCCACGCUUAACGUGGAGGGGCCAUUCGAAACUGCUGUGACUCGAGUCCGGUAGGGGAGUGUGGAAUUCCCGGUGUAGCGGUGAAAUGCGCAGAUAUCAGGAGGAACACCUAUUGCGAAGGCAGCUCGCUGGGACGUUACUGACGCUGAGACGCGAAAGCGUGGGGAGCAAACAGG
rnacentral:rRNA from 1 species